UCAUCUGAGAGCUUAGUAGAAGUGAGGAAUCAGAGAACACAGCUCUAUAUACUAAACCAGAAUGAGUAUUUAACAAGAUAUCCAGGGGAUUCUUAUGCUCAUCAACAUUUGCCAUGUACUGUUUGCUCCCUAGUGUAGCUUUUUGACCACUCCUGUGUGCUUCCGGAACAAAACGGGUUUCCUCCAAACCCAGCUCUUAUCACAAGGAAAAGUAACUUUGGCUUAUCUGUUUGUCCCUCUCCCUGGAAGAUGGCUACAUGGAAUCUAGGCUAAAAGAUUUCCAGUACUAUCAAAAACAUCUCACAUUGAACAGUGGAUUAAUCUUCGAAGGUAUGUCCCCAGUGAGGAGCCUGAGUCAGAUAUUUACUUGCUGUUGAAUCUCUCCACCUGAUUAUGAACAAACAUCUCAAACUGUUUUAGAAAUGUUUGGCGGUAUAUGUUGAACCUGAACAAAGACAUACUCUCUGAUCCAGAAUUCCACAACUUGGUCUACAAUCCACAAAAAUGUAUGCAAAUGGGCAUCAGAAGAUACAUAGGAAUGUUAAAAGUAUCAUUGUUUAUAAUUGCUCCAACCAAAACAAACAAACAAACAAACAGAUAAACAAUAGUAGAGUAGAUACAUCAGUUGGAGUAAAUUAUAAAAUGGAAUCCUGUACAGAAUUGCAAAAAAAGGAACCACUGCUAGGCAAUAUCAGAUAAUCUUGCAAACAUAAUCCUGAGUGACAAAUGCCAGGAUAAAAAUGUGUAUAAUGUAUAUUUUUAUUUAUAGACAC